rnacentral:lncRNA from 1 species
UGUCUUGUCCGGACUAAGUUCACAUUCAUGGCAGAGGGCAACAGCUCGCGGUGAUUCUACUGAUAGUACAAGCCUGAUUCAGGCUUACCAAACACCAUCCAUGACUGACAUGGUUAGCCGAUCACAAACAAUGUACCUCGGUAGUCCAGCUCCUCGACCACCUCUAAGGCCAGUACGAUCAUUUCCUGCACGACAACAGCCUAGGUGAUCCUCGACAUACCUUUUCUUCCUGCAACUUCCAAGAAUUGGUUCUAUCAAGACUCUUGUUUUAGCCUGAUUCAGGCUUACCAAACACCAUCCAUGACUGACAUGGUUAGCCGAUCACAAACAAUGUACCUCGGUAGUCCAGCUCCUCGACCACCACUAAGGCCAGUACGAUCAUUUCCUGCACGACAACAACCUAGGUGAUCCUCGACACACCUUUUCUUCCUGCAACUUCCAAGAAUCGGUUCUGUCAAGACUCUUGUUUUCUCUCCUGUUUCAAUCUUUUCGGGUUUUCGGACAUCAUGGGCUAAAGGGGGUAUAUUUCUAGUAAAAUGUACAUU